rnacentral:rRNA from 1 species
UACGUAGGGUCCAAGCGUUAAUCGGAAUUACUGGGCGUAAAGCGUGCGCAGGCGGUUCGUUAAGUCAGCUGUGAAAGCCCCGGGCUCAACCUGGGAAUUGCGGUUGAAACUGGCGAACUAGAAUCUGGCAGAGGGGGGUGGAAUUCCACGUGUAGCAGUGAAAUGCGUAGAUAUUGGGAGGAACACCAGUGGCGAAGGCGGCUCACUGGACCGGUACUGACGCUGAGGCGCGAAAGCCGUGGGGAGCAAACGGG